AUUGAACGCUGGCGGCAGGCCUAACACAUGCAAGUCGAACGAGUGGCGGACGGGUGAGUAAUGUCUGGGAAACUGCCCGCUGGAGGGGGAUAAAUACUGGAAACGGUAGCUAAUCCCGCAUACCCUCGUAUGUGCCCAGAUCGGGUUAGCUAGUGGGUGGGUUAACGGCUCACCUAGGCGACGAUCCCUAGCUGGUCUGAGAGGAUGACCAGCCACACUGGAACGGAGACACGGCCCAGACUCCUACGGGAGGCAGCAGUGGGGAAGAUUUCACAAUGGGCGAAAGCCGGAUGCAGCCAGGCCGCGUGUAGGAAGAAGGCCUUCGGGUUUUAAAGUACUUUCAGCGAGGAGGCGUUACUCGCAGAAGAAGCACCGGCUAACUCCGUGCCAGCAGCCGCGGUAAUAC
rnacentral:rRNA from 1 species